rnacentral:rRNA from 1 species
CGGCUGAACCAGCAACUGGAGGAAUGUAUAGCAAUAGCUGAUUGCACCAACAUAUAGUUGAAUGCAUAUCGACUAUGUCGAAUAAAAUUCUGGGUAGAAUUAUGAUGAUGACAUUGUUUACCCAUGUGUCUUUGACAAAUUACGUGCCAGCAGUCGCGGUAAUACGUAAAAGACUAGUGUUAUUCAUCUUUAAUAGGUUUAAAGGGUACCUAGACGGUAAAUAAAGCCUUUAUAGGGACUAAUAUACUAGAGUUACUUAUGAGGGGGUAUUAAAGUACUGCUGGUGUAGAGAUGAAAUUCUGUCAUACCUCUUUUCUUAUGAAAAAUAAUGGCACAGGUAUAGGCGAAAGCAUCCCCUUAUGUGAUAACUGACGUUGAAGGACGAAGGCUUUGUGUCGCGAACAGGAUUAGAUACCCCAGUAGUCAAAGCAGAAAAUGAUGAAUGUCAUAGAUUAGAUUUAAAAUUUUUUAUUCUAUAAAUGAAAGUGUAAGCAUUCCACCUCAAGAGUAAUUUGGCAACAUUGGAACUGAAAUCAUUAGACCGUUUCUGAAACCAGUAGUGAAGUAUGUUGUUUAAUUUGAUAUUCCGCAAAAAACCUUACCACAAUUUGAAUAUUUAUAUUGUUAUUUUCUUUUUCUAUUGAGCUGAAGCUGGACCGUUGUUUACAUACGUACAGCUAUGUUUAAUAAAAAUAGAGAUUAAUGUAUAUAUCUACAAGCGUUGCACGGCUGUCUUCAGUUAAUGUCGUGAGACUAUGGUUAGUUCCAUUAAAUUAACGUAAACCCUUACUUUAUUUUUUAUAUAAAGUUGUUCCCCGCUAUAUUGGAUAUGAUAACAGGGACUAAGACAAGUCAUCAUGGCCUAAAUAUUGUGGGCUAUAGACUUGCCACAUAAACCUAACAAAAGGAUGUG